AAAAAUAUAAAAAUAUAAAUUUAUUGAGUACACCCACUAAGUUGAAAACCCGAAAGGGCAACUUAGGAAAAAAAGGGUAUCCUGGUGGAUUGAAAACCUGAAAGGGCGAUCUAGGCAAAAUUUAGGGAUUCAAAGCGAAUGACUACGUGUGAUAUCGAAUAAGUUGAUUUCGUCAUACUACUACAGUUAGAAACCUGAAGGGCACGAAUCAGUUUAAAUCAUUUUUCUUCAAAAAGCAAAGGGAUGAGAGCGUUAAGGUCAUGAACAAUUAUAGCAGAAUCA
rnacentral:lncRNA from 1 species